rnacentral:tRNA from 1 species
CGCGGGAUGGAGCAGUCUGGUAGCUCGUCGGGCUCAUAUCGGGCUCAUAACCCGAAGGUCGUCGGUUCAAAUCCGGCUCCCGCAACCA